rnacentral:rRNA from 1 species
UACAGAGGUCUCAAGCGUUGUUCGGAUUCAUUGGGCGUAAAGGGUGUGUAGGUGGCGCCGUAAGUCGGGUGUGAAAUUUCGGAGCUUAACUCCGAAACUGCAUUCGAUACUGCGGUGCUUGAGGACUGGAGAGGAGACUGGAAUUUACGGUGUAGCAGUGAAAUGCAUAGAUAUCGUAAGGAAGACCAGUGGCGAAGGCGGGUCUCUGGACAGUUCCUGACACUGAGACACGAAGGCCAGGGGAGCAAACGGG